UUUGACCUAACUUGUGUAGGAUAGGUGGGAGGCUUUGAAGCAGAUACGCCAGUAUUUGUGGAGCCAACCUUGAAAUACCACCCUGGUUAUGUUGGGGUUCUAACUUAGGAUUAACAAAUCCAAGGACAAUGUAUGGUGGGUAGUUUGACUGGGGCGGUCUCCUCCUAAAGAGUAACGGAGGAGUACGAAGGUGCGCUCAGAACGGUCGGAAAUCGUUCAAAGAGUAUAAAGGCAAAAGCGCGCUUAACUGCGAGACCCACAAGUCGAGCAGGUACGAAAGUAGGUCUUAGUGAUCCGGUGGUUCUGUAUGGAAGGGCCAUCGCUCAACGGAUAAAAGGUACUCUGGGGAUAACAGGCUGAUACCGCCCAAGAGUUCAUAUCGACGGCGGUGUUUGGCACCUCGAUGUCGGCUCAUCUCAUCCUGGGGCUGAAGCAGGUCCCAAGGGUAUGGCUGUUCGCCAUUUAAAGAGGUACGCGAGCUGGGUUUAGAACGUCGUGAGACAGUUCGGUCCCUAUCUACCGUGGGCGUUGGAAAUUUGAGAGGAUCUGCUCCUAGUACGAGAGGACCAGAGUGGACGAACCUCUGGUGUUCCGGUUGUUUCGCCAGAAGCAUCGCCGGGUAGCUACGUUCGGAUGGGAUAACCGCUGAAAGCAUCUAAGCGGGAAGCCCACCUCAAGAUAAGAUUUCCCUAAAGAGCCGUUGUAGACUACGACGUUGAUAGGUUGGGUGUGGAAGUGUAGUGAUACAUGUAGCUAACCAAUACUAAUUGCUCGUUUGGCUUGACCAU
rnacentral:rRNA from 1 species